CAAUUUGCAAAAGUCGUUUUAUGCCGGUUGGGAUGAUUACGAAAAGAGCGAGCAUCGUGAUAUUUUUCGAGCACUUCUUGACGCUCUUCGGCAUGCUAGAGUUCUUAAAGUCUGCACUUGGUGUGUUCAGGUGUUGUCAAUAUGGGAGUUGACAAGGUUUCCUGCUCCCAUCUUUAGCUGCAAUUGUCUGAUACUAGAGACAGGAUUGAGAAGAUGGGAUCUUCCUGGGAUUGUAGGUUUGUUGAGGAGUUCCCCUUAUCUUGAGACUCUCAUUAUAAAUAUAAUUCCCACUUUCUAUCUCAAUGUGAGUGCCACAUAACUUCAUUCUACUUUUAUCCCUUAUAUCUUUAUGAUAUUCAUUUACAUUCAACUUUCAAGCUCCUUUUUAAUAUCAUAUGAUCUUAAGGGUAAUUCUCUGAUUUUUCAGUGGGAUGAAACUUUUGAUUAUUUUAUGGCGAAAUAUUAUUUGCAUGGAGUAGAGUACUUGGCAUCACAAGAGUCCAAUCUUCCUUGUCUUGAACAUUGCCUCAAGACAAUCAAGAUAUUUGGCUUCAUCAGUGGGGGAGAUAAAUUCAAGAAGCAGAAAGCUUGGUCAAUGAAUCGUAUUCUUAGAAGGUCAAUGAGACAAGGCAUUCUAGUGAAAUUUUUGUUGAAGAAUGCUAUGGUUUUAGACAAAAUGACCAUCUAUGCCAGCAAUGAACACGAGUUUAAGAUGAUUAAGAAAUGGUCUGGAGUAUUUUCAGAGGUUUCUAAGGAUAUCCUAGCUUUCCCAAGAGCCUCUUCUCAUGCGGAAGUAUCAUUUUCAUAUGCAUAGACCUGCGGAGUUAAUUGCUAUACUACUCAAAUAUGGCAUGGACGCAGCGAUCACACCUAAAAUUGAACCACCAUAGAAAAACAUGAUGGGGUACGUUGCCAAUUUUGAAUCAUUUGGGUAUCAUGGGUCAUUCAACAGAUUGGUUUUGUAUCUCCUCUUUUCAAUCUACAGAUAGUCCAUGCGUCCUGUCUCAACAACUGGUUGUGGUGGAUAAUGCAGGAGUAUGUUUUCAUCUUAGCAAUUCACUUAGUAGGUUCUUGUAGUUAGUGAGUAGAAGAGUUGAAAGACAUUUAGUCUCUGGAAUAUCAAUUUAUCUAUUCACAUCCAAACAAUUUAUUGCCAUUCAAGUAUGCAAUUCAGAUUUGAUUCUUA